UGGUAAUGACAGUGCAUUUUUAAAACAACACUUGCUCAGAAUUCUAUAAACACGAUCGUGAAAAUAAAAAACUAAAAAAAAAUGUUAUGGCUGAAAUGCUAUCGACGAAAAAGCGUCGUAGUAUGCAAACAGUUGCUAUGAUCAAAAGUAUUAUUAAUAUGUAAUAAGGAACGAGAUUUUAGUUUACCGUAAACCAUCGACUUGACUAUUUGAGUUGUUUCAAACUUACGGCGAUACAGUACAACACACACAUACGUCUUCGUGCACCGUUGUUUCCGAUCGGUUCGUAUAACCUUUCCGGCUAAGACUUCAGGAAGCACAAGUGCUACUCAAGUACACUACUUCUAUUCGUAUAUAGCUAUUUUACUCGAAUGCGAGACGCCAUGGAUUCACUACCAUACGCAUCAGUAUGGGACCUGGGGUUGCCAGCAACACCAGCGGACAUGAGCUCUGAGAACGUGAACUACGGCCUCAGCGACAUGGUCAGGGCCAGUUACUUGGCGAAACUGCGUGAAACGCUUAUGUCCAACAUGAGAGAAAACACUGCGAGUGACCGCGGCUCGGCUGAAGACACAAUGGUCGAAAUGUUCGUGGAAAAGUGUUUGGGCGAGAUGGAAAAGGACGCGUUAAGGAAAUGCAUGGUAGCGGAGAUAUACUGCGAAGCGAUGCGUAAAACGAUAGACGAAGUGAACCACUGCACGGUCACAUCAACGAUCCAUGACCGGCUGAUGACGACGAUCAUAGCGGAAGCUGACAGUAAGAAUCGUGAAACCGCAUCGACGAUUGAGGUCGCUGCUGACGGCGUCGACGAGAAACAGCAAAACUCCUGUGACGACUCGUACCUACUUCAGUUCCCGACGCAGGCACAAGUCUUCGAUCAACAGGACGAACAGGGCAUUAUGACACUCGCCAUCGAGAAUUUCAAGUGCACAUCAAUGUUUCCGGGAUCGAUAUCGGAAGACAUUGUCGAUCCAAGUACCGUGCGACCCGAUAUAAUUAAUAUGGUUAAGAAUGAUAAAGAUCUCAGUGCUAUGGUGGCUACAACGCACGAGUUCCGCAGGAACAUGAAAAGACUACCCCGAGCCAUGCGAGCCCGGGUAGACCAGGAGCUGAACCGGAUGUUUGGUAACUGCCUUGAUCCCGGGUAUCGAUCAAUAUUUUUGUCCAAAGAGGAGGAAUGGAUAAUUUCCUACGAAAGGAUCAUGCUGUUGGUCUCAAACCGCAUGAAACCAUAUUUCGAACACGAGAAAAUCGCCAAAUCCUCCGACUUUGAGAAUAUCGUUCAACUCAUAUCGAGGACCAUGAUGGAUAGCGCCAGCGAUCCGACUGAGAUCACGAUAAACCAAACCAUAGACGGGUUUUUUACCGGGCACCCGUACAAAUCCAUCGAUCAAUUCAUAGCCGCCAAUGGUUAUUUUUUCCAAUCUGAUCGGCCGUUGUAACCGUUCAAACCAAAUGGUGUCUCGAUAAAAUAUACUAAAAUAGUAGUACACAUGUACCGUUUUUGUUAUUAUGACAUACAGCAAUGGCUUUCAUUGCAUUAUUGCUUUUUUCGUCAACUAAGAUUUUGUGAAAUGCACAAGACUUUGCCGGUUGGCUUUGCUGUGACAGCACAUUAAUCAGGCCCGUUGGCCUCAAUUAAGACGACAAUUAUUUAUUGUUAUAUAUAUGAAAUUUAUAUUUUUUGUUAAAUUAAUAUAUUGUAUUAUGAA